rnacentral:rRNA from 1 species
AUUGAACGCUGGCGGCAGGCCUAACACAUGCAGGUCGAGCGGGGUUUUCGGACCUAGCGGCGGACGGGUGAGUAAUGCGUAGGAAGCUGCCCGAUAGAGGGGGAUACCAGUUGGAAACGACUGUUAAUACCGCAUAAUGUCUACGGACCAAAGUGUGGGACCUUCGGGCCACAUGCUAUCGGAUGCGCCUACGUGGGAUU